rnacentral:lncRNA from 1 species
GUGGGGCCCACUCCCUCCCAUUCCAAGUCUCCCCGAGGCGAGGCAAAGGCAAGGCAAACCCACCGACCAAAGCCACCGCCGCACCCCAUCCACAAAACCCUCGCCGGCGGCCGGGUGGUACGCCGCCGGCGAUCACCGGCGGCCACUCCACUCCACUGCCACGGGCUGCAUCGCGCCGCGGCCUCACCGGCUCACCCUGCCUCGCGCCGCGGCCGCCGUUGGCUAGCCGGCUAAUUGAGCCUGCUGCUCCUCGCGGCGGGGGGCGGCGAGCCAUGCGGCGGCGCUCAGCUCCACCGCCGCGCCGCGCGGGCGCGGCAUCCACAGCACCCGCAUGCUUUUUGGCGCAGGGGGGUGUCAAUUGAAUUUCAUGGUAGCCAUAGACUUCACAGCUUCAAAUGGGAAUCCCAUGGCUUCCAGAUUCCUUGCAUUACAUCGAACCCACUGGUCGGCCAAAUGGCAGUACUGGAAACAGAGAUGCACUACAAUGCUAUGACCCUGCUAAGCGAUUCCCCUUAUGGGGGCUUUGGAGCUAGACCUAUUGAUGUCCUGUUUCCUAUUUCCACUGUUUCAACCUGAAUGGCAGCAUCUAUCAACCUGAGGGUGGUGCGAUGACUGAUUUGCAAGAGACUAUUGAUACAAUCAUAAAGGCAUCUGAUUUUCCUUCGUCCAUUCUUGUUGCUGGAGUUGGUGGAGCGGACGGAAAUGGAGAUAAUGGGACUGGAAAGUUGCUUGCAAUCAUAUGAUUGAUCUACUUAUUUCUUAUCAGAGCUAAAAUUGAACCGCUUGACUAGGUCUUGCUCACUGCCUUAGAUGUUACAACAAAUACUGAUAACCUUAUAUUUCCCAGAUUGGAAAGAUUGAGGAGGGAAUGACUACCAAUAUGCGAGUCAUGAACAGUGUAUGAUUUUUCUUAUUUGCACAGUAGUAUUUCAUCAGUAUAUCAUGUUCCAUGACCCAUCGCAGCAUGAAUAAAG